rnacentral:tRNA from 1 species
GCGCGGUUAGCUCAGUUGGUAGAGCAGGUCGUUUACACCGACAAGGUCGGGGGUCCAAGUCCCUCACCGCGCA